AACAGGAUUAGAUACCCUGGUAGUCCACGCCGUAAACGAUGUCGACUUGGAGGUUGUGCCCUUGAGGCGUGGCUUCCGGAGCUAACGCGUUAAGUCGACCGCCUGGGGAGUACGGCCGCAAGGUUAAAACUCAAAUGAAUUGACGGGGGCCCGCACAAGCGGUGGAGCAUGUGGUUUAAUUCGAUGCAACGCGAAGAACCUUACCUACUCUUGACAUCCAGAGAACUUAGCAGAGAUGCUUUGGUGCCUUCGGGAACUCUGAGACAGGUGCUGCAUGGCUGUCGUCAGCUCGUGUUGUGAAAUGUUGGGUUAAGUCCCGCAACGAGCGCAACCCUUAUCCUUUGUUGCCAGCGGUUCGGCCGGGAACUCAAAGGAGACUGCCAGUGAUAAACUGGAGGAAGGUGGGGAUGACGUCAAGUCAUCAUGGCCCUUACGAGUAGGGCUACACACGUGCUACAAUGGCAUAUACAAAGAGAAGCGACCUCGCGAGAGCAAGCGGACCUCAUAAAGUAUGUCGUAGUCCGGAUUGGAGUCUGCAACUCGACUCCAUGAAGUCGGAAUCGCUAGUAAUCGUGGAUCAGAAUGCCACGGUGAAUACGUUCCCGGGCCUUGUACACACCGCCCGUCACACCAUGGGAGUGGGUUGCAAAAGAAGUAGGUAGCUUAACCUUCGGGAGGGCGCUUACCACUUUGUGAUUCAUGACAGGGGUGAAGUCGUAACAAGGUAACC
rnacentral:rRNA from 1 species